rnacentral:rRNA from 1 species
AUUGAACGCUGGCGGCAGGCCUAACACAUGCAAGUCGAGCGAGCGGCGGACGGGGGAGUAAUGUAGGGGGACUGCCCGAUAGAGGGGGAGAACUACGCGAAACGGUAGCGAAUACCGCAUACUAUCGGAGAAACCAUAUGGGAUGAGCUAGUAGGUGGGGUAAGGGCUAACCUAGGCGACGAUCCCUAGCGGGUCUGAGAGGAUGAUCAGCCACACUGGGACUGAGACACGGCCCAGACUCCUACGGAGGCAGCAGUGGGGAAUAUUGCACAAUGGGCGCAAGCCUGAUGCAGCCAUGCCGCGUGUAUGAAGAAGGCCCUAGGGUUGUAAAGUACUUUCAGUCGGGAGGCGUUACCGACAGAAGAAGCACCGGCUAACUCCGUGCCAGCAGCCGCGGUAAUAC